UACGGAGGGUGCAAACGUUGCUCGGAAUCAUUGGGCGUAAAGCGCACGUAGGCGGUUCGGUAAGUCGGAUGUGAAAUCCCUCGGCUUAACCGGGGAACUGCGUCUGAUACUGGAUGGCUUGAGUGUGGGAGAGGGAUGCGGAAUUCCAGAUGUAGCGGUGAAAUGCGUAGAUAUCUGGAGGAACACCGGUGGCGAAGGCGGCAUCCUGGACCAUUACUGACACUGAAUAGCGAAAGCCAGGGGAGCAAACGGG
rnacentral:rRNA from 1 species